CAUUCACCCUUUUCAGUGGCGGAAUUCGACGUGAAGAGAGGUCGCUUCAGCGAAUUACCCAGCAUGCCCCAGGCCAAGAGCGUCUUCGCGGCCGCCGUCCUUGAAGGCUGCAUCUAUACCAUCGGAGGCUUCGAUGGAACUACCACCGUGACGAGCGUUGAGAGGUACGACAUCGCCGCCGGCAAAUGGUACACGGCUCCCCCGAUCAGCACCAAGUGCAGCGCGCACGCUGCGUGCGUCGUUAAGAACGUCGCUAACCCUGCCACAUGGACAUAGGCAUCCACCACUUAUCGCAUGUGCGGUGCGGAGCGCUGUGAUGGACACUUUCAUCCCCGAGCCUGGCGUUUACCUUCGUAGCAACGGCAGGCAUGUCUGGUCGAGGGGCCACUAGCGAACGGAACAACGGCGCAAGCAAUCUGGCGUAUAAAAUAAGCGAAGAAAAAAAUUCCACGU